UGCGGGAAUUUGUGGGGUCAUUGCCGACGUCACAAAAUUAAGGUCCUAUUAAUAACACUUUUUGCAUCUUGGCCUUCUCUCCCAUCCCGCUGGAAUCCUGCCAAGUCACGGGCAGGGCUAGGACUCACCGGCUUGAGUCACGUGGCAGUCGGUCACCUGAAAGGGGAGGGAGGAAAAGGGAGGGAGAGGGGGCCAUUCCGGCCAAGGAAACAGAUUCUUCUCACAGGCUAACCCCACACGUGCAUGAAGGGAAUGCCCAGGGAGCUUGUCAAGCCCAGCCCAGGGACCUCUGCCCAAAUCUGAAAAAGGGAAGGGACAGGGACUGUACCCCAUGCUGUUCUGGGGGUGGCGACCUGGGGGCAGAGGGCCGGAGGCUGCUGCCGCCUGCCCGCGAGGCCAUCAGGAGGCCAACGACUGCCCUCUUUUCGGGGACAUCUCUGGCUGCCGGUUGGCCUACAAGACAGUCCGCCUUCUCCGAGCCACCAGGACCGUUGAUUCCCGAGGGGAACAUGGCCAGACCCCCAGGAUGGCCAGGACCACCAAGGUAUCGUCCAGCCCUGGAGACAGAAGAGGCUCCCAGGCCACAGCUGGGCCCGAUGCCAUGAGCUCCCACCCCUUUCCUAGAAAGAAGACCAGGGAGGGACCCUGUUUUCUGGAAAUGGCGUCAAACUCAAAGUAAAGAGACUGUCUCCGGCUCUGCCUUGCCCGUGACCUCUCUGGGCCUCCGUGUCCCUACCUGUGAAAUGAAGGGCUGCCCUGUGAUCCUUCAGGGGUCUUUCUACUUGAUGGAUCUCUGAUAAACUCGUUCACACACAGAGGUGACAACUGAGAAGUCUCCUCGUAUUUUUUUUUUUUUCCUACAAACCUUUGCAGUUCAGCUCUCUGGAUAUUUGAGACAAGCAAGGAAAUAGAAAGUUGGGAAAUUAUUGGUUGGGAGGCAGAUGGACGGAGGCCCUUCAGGUAAACUCUGAGGUAACCUCAUGCAGGGGGCUUCCCAGCUUCCUUUCACGUGUCUAAGAGAUUUGUAGACAUUACGAAGGUUAAACAUGGCUAGAGGGUGAUCACUCUUAUUAACGGUAAAGACAAAAUGGCUUUACAAAUCUCUUACACCUUUGGAAUAUGCCUGAAAACCGAAUGGCACAGUUUGUCAAGUGUCCCCGGUGCGGGUAAGAAAGUAUGGGACAGUGUAGAAUUAUGUGGGAUGGUAUAGAAGAGAAUAGAACAGUGUAGAACACUCUGGAACAGUCUGGAAGAGUAGAGGACUGGGCCAGUCCGGGGGCCGAGGCUCCUGUCCUUCUCUUGGAUCGGCCAUGUGACCCUCGGAAUCUCCUGACCCCGUGUGCCUUGAUUUCCUCCCCUGCAUGCUGGAGUGAUGGUAACCUCACCUGCUGACCUCAUGGAGGCAAAGGAGAGUGGCUAUCCAAGACUGACUAACCCAAGACAAGAAACUCAUUGGAGGCACCAGAGGUGGCAUUCUUAAAUUGUUCUCAUCGAUAGAUUCUGACAGUUUUUGUAUAAAUUUUUAUUUUAUUUUAUUUUAUUUUAUUUUCAACGUUUAUUUAUUUUUGGGACAGAGAGAGA